rnacentral:lncRNA from 1 species
GCAUCCCCAACAAGGGUCAUUCACUUCUGUGUAAUGACCUCUAGAGAUAGACAAUUAGCUCGAUCCAAAUCUCACUAGAGGACAUCUAUAGUUGUUAUGAAUUGUUCCAUAAUAUUGUAGUAGAGAUUUCUUUUCUAUAACUUGCACCUCGGUCUAUCCUCUGAAACUAUGCAAAACAAAUAUCAUUCUUUAGAAUUGUUAUGAAGAAAAUGGGUUGGAAACUGCAAAGUGAUUAUUCUCAUCUGUUUCAAGUUUGAAAGGUGACUGCACCUGAGCAGCUCAAACAAAUCGAAUGAUUUCCCUAAGAUCACGCAACCAAGAAAGCAUAAAGGGGGCUGGGAUCCCAACUUCCUGAAAUUCCACUCACUUCUGGAUGACUUAGUGCCACCUCUCUCCAAAACAAGCUCAGAAUGACAUCAUCAUCACCAUCAGGAAGACCACCAUCACAACAGAUGGUUUCCAACAAACAGUGAUUUUAAAAGAUGCUUUCACAAUAAACUCUACUAUAUCAGUUUCUAUCU